AUUGCACCCACUUCAACACCAUAGAUAUUAAAAUUGGAACUAUACAGAGAAAUGACCCCUUGCAAAGAUGACAUGCAAAUUCAUGAAGCAUUCCAUAAUUUA